rnacentral:rRNA from 1 species
CAGUAGCCGCGGGAAUACAGAGGGUGCAAGCGUUAAUCGGAAUUACUGGGCGUAAAGCGCGCGUAGGUGGUUUGUUAAGUUGGAUGUGAAAUCCCCGGGCUCAACCUGGGAACUGCAUCCAAAACUGGCGAGCUAGAGUAUGGUAGAGGGUGGUGGAAUUUCCUGUGUAGCGGUGAAAUGCGUAGAUAUAGGAAGGAACAUCAGUGGCGAAGGCGACCACCUGGACUGAUACUGACACUGAGGUGCGAAAGCGUGGGGAGCAAACAGGAUUAGAUACCCGAGUAGUCCCUGUCUCUUAUAC